rnacentral:rRNA from 1 species
ACAGCAGCAGCCGCGGUAAUACGAAGGGUGCAAGCGUUACUCGGAAUUACUGGGCGUAAAGCGUGCGUAGGCGGUGAGUUAAGUCUGCUGUGAAAUCCCCGGGCUCAACCUGGGAAUGGCAGUGGAUACUGGCUCGCUAGAGUGUGUCAGAGGAUGGUGGAAUUCCCGGUGUAGCGGUGAAAUGCGUAGAGAUCGGGAGGAACAUCAGUGGCGAAGGCGGCCAUCUGGGACAACACUGACGCUGAGGCACGAAAGCGUGGGGAGCAAACAGGAUUAGAUACCCCUGUAGUCCCUGUCUCUUAUAC